UCCAAUUACUUCUCCAAGCAUGUUGCAGCGACUUGGUCUCUAAGUCCUAUGGCCUCACCUAACAGUUAUUGGCACAUUUCUUAGUUAAGUCCGAUCCAUUGUUCACCAGCGGAUGCAAAGCCGUCAUUGGGUCCCUCACCUAACAGUUAUUAGGCCCAACCCCAUCUUUACCCCAGGGCAUCUAAUGCCAAUUGAGUGAUUGUACCUUCUCGAUGCAAUCGAACUACUGUAACCAGCCGAGAACGAUCAACAUUGGAAAAGGCACCCACAUCUCUACAAUGGUGGAAGACCAGUAAACUUAAUAU
rnacentral:lncRNA from 1 species